rnacentral:rRNA from 1 species
UACAGAGGUCUCGAGCGUUAGGCGGAAUCACUGGGCUUAAAGCGUGUGUAGGCGGAUCGUUAAGUGCCUUGUGAAAUCCCACGGCUCAGCCGUGGAACUGCUUGGCAUACUGGCGGUCUUGAGCAACCUAGGGGCGAGCGGAACAAAUGGUGGAGCGGUGAAAUGCGUAGAUAUCAUUUGGAACGCCAAUGGUGAAAACAGCUCGCUGGGGGUUUGCUGACGCUGAGACACGAAAGCCAGGGGAGCAAACGGG